AUACGGAGGGUGCAAGCGUUAAUCGGAAUUACUGGGCGUAAAGCGUACGUAGGCGGUUAUUUAAGUCAGAUGUUAAAGCCCCGGGCUUAACUUGGGAACUGCAUUUGAAACUGGGUAACUAGAGUUUAGUAGAGGGGAGUGGAAUUUCAGGUGUAGCGGUGAAAUGCGUAGAGAUCUGAAGGAACACCAGUGGCGAAGGCGACUCCCUGGACUAGAACUGACGCUGAGGUACGAAAGCGUGGGUAGCAAACAGGAUUAGAAACCCCGGUAGUCC
rnacentral:rRNA from 1 species